UGCUUACAAGCCAGUCCCUGUGGCUCCAUGAGGUCACCUCCAUCUCUUCUUCAGGAAUGGCUGGCACUGAAAGCGAUUAUCUUCUCAAUCAGGGAACAACCACGGCAAAGGAAUGCAAUCCUUGUAAAGCCCAAGGGCACACAGGUUUCUCUAACCAGAAACACGCCUCACAGUGUGGGAAGGCCACCUGGGAACGUCUCCACCGCUACGGGGAAGGCGAACCAGAACACAGGAGGGGAUGCCAGUGCUCCACUGAGGGGAGAUGCCUGCCAUUUGAACUAAUGCUUUAAAAAAUCUCCUGCUGGGAAAAAAUGGGGAAAGUGCUAAUGGAUGUAAUGAACCAAGCCUCCCAGGGAAGCCGAGAAAGCCGACCCAUCAACUAACUGGAUCAUUCAGAACUAGAGCAAGGAAAUGCUUUGGCAGAGAAACAGAAAAGUGAAACAGCAAGGCCCCUGAAAUCAGAGCCUAGUGGUCAGCUCUGUAUCCCUGUUUAUCUCUAGCAUGAUUCGUCCCAAACAGAAGAUCCUGUGGGCCUGGAGGAAACCUCUGGGCAGGUGAGCAGAGCUCGCAAUCCCAGAUUGCAAUCAGGGAUGUGGGGAGAGCACAGGGCAGCUGGGUUACAUCCUCACACGGACCCCUACCUGCCUGUGUGCACAUCUGGUCAUCUCACCCUUGUCUGUGGGUCUCACCUGGUACCUGUUGCACCUCAGUCUCCUGAAUUAGUUUCCAUGGCUGCCAUGCCACACUGCCACAUACUGAGUGGCUUAAAACAAAUGCAUUUUUCUCCCUAAUACUUCAGAAGGUCAAAAGUCCAAAACGUGUCUUAGCUAGCAAAAGUCAAGGUAUUGUCAGGACUUGUCUCUUCUGGAGGCUCCAAGGGAGAAACUAUUUCCUUGUCUUUUCUGGCUCCUAGAAGAUAUUAACAGUUCUUGGCUCACAGCUCCUUUCAUCUACCUACCAGGCCAGUAGCACAG
rnacentral:lncRNA from 1 species